rnacentral:ncRNA from 16 species
UGGCUCAGUUCAGCAGGAAC